CCUACGGGAGGCAGCAGUGGGGAAUAUUGCACAAUGGCGGAAACGCUGAUGCAGCGACGCCGCGUGAGUGAGGAAGUAUUUCGGUAUGUAAAGCUCUAUCAGCAGGGAAGAAAAUGACGGUACCUGACUAAGAAGCCCCGGCUAACUACGUGCCAGCAGCCGCGGUAAUACGUAGGGGGCAAGCGUUAUCCGGAUUUACUGGGUGUAAAGGGAGCGUAGACGGCUAAUCAAGUCAGAAGUGAAAACCUAGGGGUCAAAUUUGGGACUGCUUGUGAAACUCAGUAGCUAGAGUGCAGGAGAGGUAAGCGGAAUGCGUAGGGUAGCGGUGAAAUGCGUAGAUAUUAGGAGGAACACCAGUGGCGAAGGCGGCUUACUGUACUGUAACUGACGUUGAGGCUCGAAAGCGUGGGGAGCAAACAGGAUUAGAUACCCGGGUAGUC
rnacentral:rRNA from 1 species